rfam:Triticum aestivum genome assembly, contig: Triticum_aestivum_CS42_TGACv1_scaffold_114242_2AS
GAAAUACCCCCUUCGUCCCAAAAUUCUUGUCUUAGAUUUGUCUAAUGUAUCUAACAUUAAAACAUAACUAGAUACAUUCGUAUUUAGACAAAUCUAAGACAAGAAUUUUAGGACGGAGGGGCAUAUA